rnacentral:tRNA from 1 species
GGCUCUGUGGCGCAAUGGAUAGCGCAUUGGACUUUUAAUUCAAAGGUUGUGGUUUCGAGUCCCACCAGAUUCG